UACGGAGGGCGCAAGCGUUGUUCGGAAUCAUUGGGCGUAAAGCGCGUGUAGGCGGCUUGGUAAGUCGGGUGUGAAAUCCCGGGGCUCAACCCCGGAAUUGCAUUCGAAACUGCCUCGCUGGAGUCCCGGAGAGGGUGGCGGAAUUCCCAGUGUAGAGGUGAAAUUCGUAGAUAUUGGGAAGAACACCGGCGGCGAAGGCGGCCACCUGGACGGCGACUGACGCUGAGACGCGAAAGCGUGGGGAGCAAACAGG
rnacentral:rRNA from 1 species